ACUUCCUAUAUAUACGUACAUAUUAUAUAUAUUUAUAUAUAUAUAUAUCAUAUCAUGUUAGAACAGCAUAA
rnacentral:ribozyme from 16 species